GACGAACGCUGGCGGCGUGCAUAACACAUGCAAGUCGAACGGAAAGGCCCUGCUUUUGUGGGGUGCUCGAGUGGCGAACGGGUGAGUAACACGUGAGUAACCUGCCCUUGACUUUGGGAUAACUUCAGGAAACUGGGGCUAAUACCGGAUAGGAGCUCCUGCUGCAUGGUGGGGGUUGGAAAGUUUCGGCGGUUGGGGAUGGACUCGCGGCUUAUCAGCUUGUUGGUGGGGUAGUGGCUUACCAAGGCUUUGACGGGUAGCCGGCCUGAGAGGGUGACCGGCCACAUUGGGACUGAGAUACGGCCCAGACUCCUACGGGAGGCAGCAGUGGGGAAUAUUGCACAAUGGGCGGAAGCCUGAUGCAGCAACGCCGCGUGCGGGAUGACGGCCUUCGGGUUGUAAACCGCUUUCGCCUGUGACGAAGCGUGAGUGACGGUAAUGGGUAAAGAAGCACCGGCUAACUACGU
rnacentral:rRNA from 1 species